UACAUAGGGGGCGAGCGUUGUCCGGAUUUAUUGGGCGUAAAGAGCUCGUAGGCGGCUUUGCAAGUCGGAUGUGAAAUCCCUCGGCUUAACCAAGGAAGUGCAUCCGAAACUGCAGAGCUUGAGUACUUAAGAGGAUCGCGGAAUUCCCGGUGUAGAGGUGAAAUUCGUAGAUAUCGGGAGGAACACCAGUGGCGAAGGCGGCGAUCUGGGAAGAUACUGACGCUGAGGUGCGAAAGCGUGGGGAGCAAACAGG
rnacentral:rRNA from 1 species